rnacentral:rRNA from 1 species
GAUGAACGCUGGCGGCGUGCUUAACACAUGCAAGUCGAGCGAAGCGCUUAUCAUUGACUCUUCGGAAGAUUUGGUAUUUGACUGAGCGGCGGACGGGUGAGUAACGCGUGGGUAACCUGCCUCAUACAGGGGAAGUAACAGUUAGAAAUAGGCUGCUAAUAGCCGCAUAAGCGCACAGGACCGCAUGGUCCGGUGUGAAAACUAGAGGUGGUAUGAGAUGGACCCGCGUCU